rnacentral:rRNA from 1 species
AGCAGUCGCCGCGGUAAUACGAAGGGGGCUAGCGUUGCUCGGAAUUACUGGGCGUAAAGGGCGCGUAGGCGGACAGUUCAGUCGGGGGUGAAAGCCCGGGGCUCAACCUCGGAAUUGCCUUCGAUACUGGCUGUCUUGAGUAUGAGAGAGGUGUGUGGAACUCCGAGUGUAGAGGUGAAAUUCGUAGAUAUUCGGAAGAACACCAGUGGCGAAGGCGACACACUGGCUCAUUACUGACGCUGAGGCGCGAAAGCGUGGGGAGCGAACAGGAUUAGAUACCCCGGUAGUCCCUGUCUCUUAUAC